UGUAAAGAGAGAAGAAGAGAGAGGUGGGGUAAAGAGAGAAGAAGAGAGAGGUGGGGUAAAGAGAGAAGAAGAGAGAGGUGGUAUAAAGAGAGAAGAAGAGAGAGGUGGUGUAAAGAGAGAAGAAGAGAGAGGUGGGGUAAAGAGAGAAGAAGAGAGAGGUGGGGUAAAGAGAGAAGAAGAGAGGUGGUGUAAAGAGAGAAGAAGAGAGAGGUGGUGUAAAGAGAGAAGAAGAGAGAGGUGGGGUAAAGAGAGAAGAAGAGAGAGGUGGUGUAAAGAGAGAAGAAGAGAGGUGGUGUAAAGAGAGAAGAAGAGAGAGGUGGUGUAAAGAGAGAAGAAGAGAGAGGUGGGGUAAAGAGAGAAGAAGAGAGAGGUGGUGUAAAGAGAGAAGAAGAGAGAGGUGGGGUAAAGAGAGAAGAAGAGAGAGGUGGUGUAAAGAGAGAAGAAGAGAGGUGGGGUAAAGAGAGAAGAAGAGAGGUGGUGUAAAGAGAGAAGAAGAGAGAGGUGGGGUAAAGAGAGAAGAAGAGAGAGGUGGUGUAAAGAGAGAAGAAGAGAGAGGUGGGGUAAAGAGAGGAGAGGAAGAGAGAAAAAAGACAUGCCACAGCAUCAGAGAAACGUGAAGGAAAAGGAGCAAAAUGAGGAGAGGAGGGGGGGGAGUUGUAGGACUUGAGGUUUAUGCAACACACGGCCUGGCCUCGGCCUCGCAGCGAGCCUCCCCUCACCUCAGCACCCCAGAUACACACACGCAUGCACACCACAGGAGGUUGGUGGCACCUUAAUUGGGGAGGACAGGCUCGUGGUAAUGGCUGGAGUGGAACAGGUGGAAUGGUAUCAAAUACAUAACAUCAAACGCAUGGUUUCCAUUCGCUCUGUUCUGGGGCAUUAGUAUGAGCCCCUCAGCCCCUAUAUCUAUGAUCUGCUGGGGAGAAUCAAUUUGAGUAACUAUUUGAUUUUAGUUGCAAAUUACUUCAUAACACCUGCAGGUAUACAGACCAAGAUCUCGUGGUUUUACCAACCUGACUUCAGUAUCUGACAUUUAUCCACAGUUCUCCAAACGUUUACAUUUUGAUGUUAAUGGUUACAUUUUGGAUAAGGUAAAAAAAUAUAUAUUUACAAAAAUGUGUUUCUACCACUGGGAGUGAGCACAUGACCUUCAGAUCAGGAGUGAUGUGAUUAAAACAAAGAACGAGUUUCUACCACUAGGAUUGAACACGUGACCUUUGGUUCUGGAGAUUUUGCAACGCCACACACACACACACACACACAACCACACAGAACGAAUGGCCAUGCAAUGUAAUCGUAGCGAUACCAACAAUGCUACUGUAAAUAAACACACACAUACAUACACACACACACACACACAACCACACAGAAUGAAUGGCCCUGCUAUGUAAUCGUAGCGAUACCCACAAUGCUACUGUAAAUAAACAGACACAUCCAUACAUACACACACACACAUUCCUGAAACAAGAUAGUUUAUAAUGCAUACAUAUACACUCAUGCUGUGCCAACUGAGCCCACAGUGUAGUGUGUGUGUGUGUGUGUGUGUGUGUGUGUGUGUGUGUGUGUGUGUGUGUGUGUGUGUGUGUGUGUGUGUGUCAUGAAGCUGCCGCUGAUGCCGCCUCUUCAAGCGUAAUAGACUGGAGGCUUAGAGCUAGGAUGGACAUAUGCAGAAGGGAAGCAGGGGAACAGAGGGAAGGAGAGAGGUGGAGUCAGGAUGGAGAUAGGCAAAUAGAGAGAAGAAGGAGUGAGAUAGAUAGAUGGAUGGAUAGAUGGAAGCGAAGAGAGAGAGAAGAGGGAGAGGAUGAGAGAACGAGAGAGAUGGGGAGAUAGAAGAGAGGGGGUAGAGAGGGAAGGUGAGAGGCGGACAGAGAAAAGAGGAAGUGGGAGAGAGGGAUGGAGUGGAAGAUAGAGAAAGAAUAAGAGGUAGAGGAGCGGGGGAACGAGAGAUGGAGAUGGAAGAGAAGGAGGUUGAAAAGAACAGAGAGGAACAGAACUCAGAUCAAAUAGUUUCUUAUGAUAUAAUAAUGAGAAUAAGAUGUAGUUCUUUACCCUUGUCUUGUAGUAAUUCAUCCGUCUUGUACAUGCGUGUUGGCAUGUGUGUGUGUGUGUGUGUGUGUGUGUGUGUGUGUG
ensembl:lncRNA